rnacentral:tRNA from 1 species
UGGGGGAUCGUCCAAGGGUAGGACUGCGGAUUCUGAUUCCGCCAAUCGGGGUUCAAAUCCCUGUCCCUCAGCCA